AGCUCCCAUAGUUCAAUGGAUAGAACAACUCUCUCCUAAAGAGUAGAUCCGAGUUCGAUUCUCGGCGGGAUUCCCA
rnacentral:tRNA from 1 species